CUCGGAGGAGGGGUGGUCCCUCAGACCAGACUGCUAGAGGGUGCAGGCCAGGCCAAGGGGCCACACCAGUGCACG
rnacentral:pre_miRNA from 1 species